GACGUAGGGCGCAAGCGUUGUCCGGAUUUAUUGGGCGUAAAGAGCUCGUAGGCGGCCUGUCGCGUCGACCGUGAAAACCCGCAGCUCAACUGCGGGCUUGCGGUCGAUACGGGCAGGCUGGAGUUCGGUAGGGGAGACUGGAAUUCCUGGUGUAGCGGUGAAAUGCGCAGAUAUCAGGAAGAACACCCGUGGCGAAGGCGGCUCUCUGGGACGGUACUGACGCUGAGACGCGAAAGCGUGGGGAGCAAACAGG
rnacentral:rRNA from 1 species